rnacentral:rRNA from 1 species
ACACAUGCAAGUCGAACGGCACCUGCCUUCGGGCAGAAGCGAGUGGCGAACGGCUGAGUAACACGUGGAGAACCUGCCCCCUCCCCCGGGAUAGCCGCCCGAAAGGACGGGUAAUACCGGAUACCCCGGGGUGCCGCAUGGCGCCCCGGCUAAAGCCCCGACGGGAGGGGACGGCUCCGCGGCCCAUCAGGUAGACGGCGGGGUGACGGCCCACCGUGCCGACAACGGGUAGCCGGGUUGAGAGACCGACCGGCCAGAUUGGGACUGAGACACGGCCCAGACUCCUACGGGAGGCAGCAGUGGGGAAUCUUGCGCAAUGGGGGGAACCCUGACGUAGCGACGCCGCGUGCGGGACGGAGGCCUUCGGGUCGUAAACCGCUUUCAGCAGGGAAGAGUCGAGACUGUACCUGCAGAAGAAGCCCCGGCUAACUACGUGCCAGCAGCCGCGGUAAUACGUAGGGGGCGAGCGUUAUCCGGAUUCAUUGGGCGUAAAGCGCGCGUAGGCGGCCCGGCAGGCCGGGGGUCGAAGCGGGGGGCUCAACCCCCCGAAGCCCCCGGAACCUCCGCGGCUUGGGUCCGGUAGGGGAGGGUGGAACACCCGGUGUAGCGGUGGAAUGCGCAGAUAUCGGGUGGAACACCGGUGGCGAAGGCGGCCCUCUGGGCCGAGACCGACGCUGAGGCGCGAAAGCUGGGGGAGCGAACAGGAUUAGAUACCCUGGUAGUCCCAGCCGUAAACGAUGGACGCUAGGUGUGGGGGGACGAUCCCCC